rnacentral:lncRNA from 1 species
AAUCAAAAUGAUUUUGAAAGAGCCAUCUAUGUCUGUCUCCUCACACCUACUCUCUUUACUACUUGAAAUCUGGACAACUCUCUACAGACAUUACCAAUAACUUCUUACUUUGCAGGUUAACAAGGUUCCUAGACAUUUCUAAUGUUUGACCCACUGAGCACUUUCACUCUGUGAAUAUUUUCUCCGUUGCUUCAGCAUGGCCUUGUUCCUUUUGCCCACUGCUGCCAUCUCUGCCCCUAGACUCCAUGUCUGCAGUCUCCUUUUUUCUCAUUUCCCAUAAAUGUAAACAUUUACCAUUCUUUCUUCUUUUACGGUGAUAUGAUCACGCUUAUCACUUGACUGGAUAGUUGACUAUCACUUU